rnacentral:rRNA from 1 species
GAAUCUGGAGACAGGUGCUGCAUGGCUGUCGUCAGCUCGUGUCGUGAGAUGUUGGGUUAGGUCCCGCAACGAGCGCAACCCUUGCCUUUAGUUGCCAGCAGUUCGGCUGGGCACUCUAAAGGGACUGCCGGUGUUAAACCGGAGGAAGGUGGGGAUGACGUCAAGUCCUCAUGGCCUUUAUGACCAGGGCUACACACGUACUACAAUGGCCGAUACAAAGGGCAGCGACACUGCGAGGUGAAGCCAAUCCCGUAAAAUCGGUCUCAGUCCGGAUUGGAGUCUGCAACUCGACUCCAUGAAGUUGGAAUCGCUAGUAAUCGUGGAUCAGCAUGCCACGGUGAAUACGUUCCCGGGCCUU